rnacentral:piRNA from 1 species
UGGGCUUGGGGCAGAUGAGCAAGGAGCAGA